rnacentral:misc_RNA from 1 species
CAAUUAAGUAUUUGUUAUUGUUCAUUAUUUAUACUUGACAUUUCAAAAUCAUUAUGUCAUAAAAUAAUGUCGUCUUAUUGGCGGCAAUAACCCCGUGUACAAUAACCUAACAAGAAGAAGAAGGUAGGAAAGACCUCUAAGAUUCCCAAUUAUCAGUACAUGAUAAGGAUGCUUUUCCUCUUUGCUUAUUCAUUCAUUGAUCACCAACAGAAAGGACCAUCUCUCUAAGUUUUCACAGGAUCUGGGACCUGCUUUUGAUGUUGCUCGAGGGUAAUAUUACAGUUGUUCAUCGUGCGGGCAUCGAGGAGACCAUGAUUCCAUAAUUUUAUCAGAAACAAUCUCCAACACCAAAGUAAGGCUGGGACACAGGCAAGAUCAUGCCCAUGCAAUCUUGAGAAUGCCUCGCAUGCCCAAGGGAUAUGACCAUCUGCCAACACACGCUGCUUCCUCACAAAGGAGUUCCACAAGUG